UGCCGAAACCCGGAAUCGAACCAGGGACCUUUAGAUCUUGAGUCAAACGCUCUCCAACAGAGCUAUUUCGGC
rnacentral:tRNA from 1 species